GCCUGGUACCAAUAGGCAGGGAGUUCUGAAGAGCACGAGACUCUUGAUCUCAGGGUGGUGGGUUCAAGCCCCACAUUGGGCU